AUCUGGCUUAUAAUAGUUUGAUGCUGAAAGCAACAGCAUCCCUUGGUAAAUAUUGUUAUAGUUCACUCCACAUCAACAACAAUAAUGCAGAACUAGAACACUAAAGCAAGUUCUUCUAUAAUUUAUGCACAGGACGAAUUUUGGCAUAAUGUAUGUAACGGUCUAAGGAGCAUUAAAUUGAUGAGCCAAUGGCAUACCAUAAUCAAGGAGCAUCUACAACAUUAUGCACAGCACGCGGUCUAUAGCUGGACAACUUGCCUCCUGGAAGACAUUUUCAGGACUUGUCAUUAUUGUUGUUGGCUCUGAAUUUGUUAAUAUCCUCAUAGAGGCAACUUUGGAUUUUGCAGUUGUACCAAGUAAAGAAAUGGGACCAGACAGCAAUAACAAAUUGAAAUGAAUAUGGAAUAAAUCAGGCUAAGCGGCUGCAUGAGGCUGGAACUUGAUUAGGUGGAGGAAACAUGGGUAAGAGAGUCAGCCAGACAGAGCAACGAGACGGGCAUCGUCAGGCAGCGGGCAAGAAACCAUAUUUGAACAUCCUUUCCUGGAGUCUUGCUUUAGGCUAUAAACCGUAUCACUCGAGAAGCCUUGUAAAUAGAUGCCAUUUGGAAUUUAGCAUUAUGAGCUCAUAAACAUCGAUGGAUUUCUCCGAUAUAGUCGUAUUAUCUCUAAAUGAACCGCUUACAUGGUCA